UUAGGGUUUCUAGGAAAAAUUUUCAUUGGAGGAGAGAGAUUCAAAUAAGAAACUUUCGUGAUAAAUAAUCAAAUUUAGGAGUUUAGGGAAGGGGAUUCGAUUAUAGAUAAGAACAUAUUGAAGGUCGAUAAUGGAGGAGAGAGAAAACAAUGGUGGGUGAUGGCUCCUUGGAGGCGGCGGCGAUGGCGGAUCACCUUCGAUUUUGCACGCAUCACCGCCGUCGCCCGCCACCAUCAGUUUGCUCGGCUUUUUCGUCGCUUCCCAUCUCCGUGCGCUUCUGAUCUCUGUCAAUCAUCCUCGUCGCCACCAUCAGGGCCUCUAUUUGUGUUUUCUCUACUUAUUCAAAUUUAAGAUGGAUCUCAAUCUAUCUGAUGUCUGCAGCCUCAAGCUUUUAAUAUAGCCAGCUUUUCCAUCGCCCUUACCACAUCAGUGGCCGCCGCCACCACCACCAGUUUCGAAAUUAAUGUGGUUUAAUCACAGAAAUAAAAUGUUGAUUAUUAGCCAUAGACUGAAUAAAAUACACGGAAGAAAGAAAACAACUUUUUGAAACUCCCUAAGGGUAUAAGAAGGGAGAUGGAGGCUAGAGAAUAGCUUCAAUUCUGGCUUUGAUCUGCAAAAUGCUAGAUAAGUGGUCAUUCACUCAUUGGUGUUUCACUCAAGUGUGUGUUAGGGGUGCAGAGCCUAAGCUACUGGCGUUUUCAUCAGCUCUUAUACUUACAUUAGGUGUAUUCCCAAUAUGUGGGUUAUAAUAAUAUCGAAUUCGAGGGAGGUUAAAAUUGAUAAGCAUUUAUCUCAAGCAUUUGUAGUAUAUUUAGCUAGAGCAGGCUGGGAGAGCACAGUCGCAAGCCUGGGAUUUGGAGUAACAUGCUUAACAACAGGGUUGGUAGUAAUAGUAUUUCAAACACCUCCAACUGCAGCAGGAGCAGGAGCUGAAGUUGGCACUCACUUUACUACUAGAAACUUAUCUUCUAGCUGUUUUCGCCACAAAUAAAAUGCAGCUUCAAUCCACCUCGGGUGCACCAGAAACUUGCCUUCGUGGACUGCAAAAAUAGAUUUCUCCGUACUUGAACUUCAAAGAAUUCACAAGUUUUUAAAUCCCCAAGCAGUACUACCAGCGGUCUGAAAUCCCCAAGCAAAUUUGUCGCUUAAAUAUAAUUCUUUGGAUAGAACAAUAUAUGUGGAACGAACUUAUCAGUUUGCUAUCAAAAGGAUCGGAGCUGCCUACAACUGAUGAACCUUAAUAUUGGUUUAUUCUGUGUAUGAUCCUCAUUGCAUUUCCUAUUUGAAUUCAAGGAAUCCUUUAAUUACCUUUUGUUAUCAGUAAACUGAAUUAUAUCCCCUUUGCUUAGGUUGGCUUGAUGGUUUGAUUUGAGUGCUGAAUGUUGCUAGAGAUAUUAAGUUACUAGAUGAUUUGGUGUGUUAUUGUAUAAAGAUGAUGUCCUAAUUUUUCUUUACAUGAACU